rnacentral:rRNA from 1 species
AGUCGACGGUAACAGGGAAAAGCUUGCUUUUCCGCUGACGAGUGGCGCACGGGUGCGUAACGCGUAUACAAUCUGCCUCUUACAGGGGGAUAGCCUUUGGAAACGAAGAAUAAUACCCCAUAGUAUGUAGCUAUCGCAUGGUAACUGCAUUAAAGAUUUAUCGGUAAGAGAUGAGUAUGCGUCCUAUUAGCUAGAUGGUGUGGUAACGGCACACCAUGGCGACGAUAGGUAGGGGCCCUGAGAGGGGGAUCCCCCGCACUGGUACUGAGACACGGACCAGACUCCUACGGGAGGCAGCAGUGAGGAAUAUUGGACAAUGGGCGAGAGCCUGAUCCAGCCAUGCCGCGUGCAGGAAGACUGCCCUAUGGGUUGUAAACUGCUUUUGUACGGGAAGAAACCCACCUACGUGUAGGUGGCUGACGGUACCGUAAGAAUAAGGAUCGGCUAACUCCGUGCCAGCAGCCGCGGUAAUACGGAGGAUCCGAGCGUUAUCCGGAAUCAUUGGGUUUAAAGGGUCCGUAGGUGGACGAUUAAGUCAGAGGUGAAAUCCUGCAGCUCAACUGUAGAAUUGCCUUUGACACUGGUUGUCUUGAAUCAUUGUGAAGUGGUUAGAAUAUGUAGUGUAGCGGUGAAAUGCAUAGAUAUUACAUAGAAUACCAAUUGCGAAGGCAGAUCACUAACAAUGUAUUGACACUGAUGGACGAAAGCGUGGGGAGCGAACGGGAUUAGAUACCCCGGUAGUCCACGCCGUAAACGAUGGUCACUAGCUGUUCGGACUUUGGUCUGAGUGGCUAAGCGAAAGUGAUAAGUGACCCACCUGGGGAGCACGUUCGC